AAAAAAAAAAAAAAAAAAAAAAAAAAAAGAAAGAAAGAGAAAGAAAGAAAGAUCUAGGUGUUAAAUAAGGCUGAAAAGGAUAGGAAAAGAACUCCAAGAAGAAGUGUUUGGAAGGGUUACUGUAGCAAGAACAGGUAUCUCUUGAACAGGGGAUUAAAGAAGGAACUGGAAACUAUGUCAUUAUGCUAUUUUCCUUUCCAGAUUAGCAUAAUGCCUUCCUCUUCUCCCCUUUCCCUUCUCUUGAUGCAGUCAAAUUCUUUAUCAUGGUUACCAGAAAGGGAUUUGGCAUUGGGUGUACAGCUAGAGGUAGAAGAUCAUGCAGAUAAGACCAACAGGUCCCUCCAUUCCCCACCAAUGGCCUGCCUGUGCCGUUUCACUUCACCCAUCUCUAUAGUGCUUGCUGUGCUGGGGUGCCAUUACGUCUCCAGUUAAAUAAAUCUGAAACCACUGACCCAGGAUUUUCAUAGCAGUGCUGCAGCCUUAGAUUAGGAAAUGCAACAAACAGUCCAUUAGCACUGAUUGGAUAUGGAUUUUUGGCCUGGCCACCUGCCACUUGAUAAUUUUAGAAUAGGGUCACUUUCGGAAUUGGAAGAUUCCUUGUAGGAGGGGACUGGUAUUUGGUAAAUAGUUGUAUCUUACUGUCAUGCCCUUUCACAGCCAAGCUCUCUACCUCUGGAGUGAGGGGCCGGUCUUGUGGCCUGCCUGGCAGAAAGGGCUAGAGCUCCUUCUUCAUCAGCUUCCAGGGCUGCAGACGUGGCCAUUUCCAAACACCCAGGGUGCACUUAACCACUUCCUCCUCCUAAUCUCAGCAUUUCCACUCUUAACACAUCAGCAGCUUUGUAACUAACUUUUUUUUUUUUUUUCUGGCCGUGUUUUGGUCCUUCAGGUAUUUGGGGGAGAAAGAUGGGUAGACUGGCUAACUGUGAUAUCAGCUGAUUUCAGAAUGAUACAAUUACACCCUGAGUCACUGCCUCUGGAGAGUAAUUUAAGCGAGGGUGCCAGGAGCAUUGUGAAGGGCUCUCGUUGUUUUCACAUGUCAGUGACUGCCUGCCUUGGUUUUGCCAGCUGCAAAAUGGAGAAACUAAGUCCUCUUUUGCCUUGAGAAUGCUAAAAGGUGAAUACUUAGGUAUGGUGGGGAAGUUUCUAAGGAGACCCAGACCCCAGAUGAUGCUCUAAGAGUGCUGUGUGACCUGAAGAGGAGGGGCCUCUGGUUAGAACGUUUUUUUCACUCACCAGCAGAAAAUAAUUAUACCCAGUUGGUGGAAUAGGAGAACUGUUGGUCUGGGGCCCUGAGAUCUGACCAUGAUGUUCCCCGUUGGAAUAAAUUUUGGCCAGUAUUUCCUUUUCUCUAUGCCAUGAAAUCUUUUGUGUUGCCUUUUUCUGGACAUGAACAGGGUACUGACUUUGGCUUCUGAUAAGGAGCAUAUCCUAAAGAGAAUCUGUCCCAGAGGACUUAAGGGUUCCCUCAGUCUUUGCCACUCUGGUUACACUAUUUUUGAGCUGAAGAGGAAAAUCAGACAUCGGAUGUUCAUCUUCGUGUUAUGAGCUGUUACCCCCAGCUGUCAUAACCCUGUGUCUUGUUUCCUGGUUGUCUGCCUAAGGCCGUAUUUACAUAGAGUUUGUCAUCUUGCCUGAGUGUGGUCAGUAUCCCUUUCACCCUCGGUUUACAGCUAGACCUCGAACAUUUUGACCCAGCCAUGUCUUUUCCCCAGAGUGUUUCAAAGGACAGGCCUGUGCCCUAGAUGCCAUGAUCUUUGUUAUUUUCAAGUACAAAGCAAGAUAGUUUUCCUUAACAUGCUGCCUGUCUGUAUUUUCUUGGAAUGUCAGCCAGGGAGUGAGUUUAGUAAGGUAUAGCUAGAGAUUGCCCUUGAAGCUUUUGAUUCUUGCUUUCCUGUCCAGAAUUAUAGUCAUUGACUAUAGUCAGUUAUAGCCUAUCCCAACACCACUAAUGUAUGGCAACUUCAAAAAUUCAUGAGGCCUUGGGAUCCACAGCACCUCUCAGUAAUCUAGCCUUUCAUCAAGAGAAGUCAUAUGACUCCACCUGCCUUGUAGCCCUGCUGGAGCAUUGCCAGCAUGUGAGGUGCAGAGGGGCCACUGAGACUACCCUCCAUGGCCAGCCCUUCAGCCCUCCCAGGUGUGAGAAAGGGCUCUUUUUGCCACACUCACAUGUACUGCCAUGCAUGCCUAACACCCAGUGGCUGGAAGACUACCUCUAGGAAAAUACAGCAGCCUUACACUGCCCAGACAUUCUUUCAUCUGUCCUUCCUCUUUCAUUCUUUCACCCACCCCCUUGUGUUUCUGUAAUUUGUACAGUAUCGUUGAAAGGUGUUGAAGAGAUCAAUAGCAAUUCACCUUUUCCCUUAUUGAUUCAAGUGACGGCAAGAAAAAAUGGCAGGCAGUACCAAUUCAUUUGUCAUGAGCUAUCCAUUUCCUACCAAGCCACCAGUGACCUCUCCCAAUGCCUGUUAUGUUGCUGAUUUGCAGUUGGGAUUAUUUCUUUUUCCAGGCUGCUUUAGUAGCAAUGAGAGAAUCACUGUGUUUGACUUCUGUAAUCAAAGCUGGGUGAAGAAGGAGACUGCAGGUACUGAACAGGAAAACUGCUGUGGAGCCUGGUCUCCAGCUCUGUGGCUUUGAGGAGCUCCCCACCUGUGCCGGGCUCUCAAACAGAGGCAAUACGGCAUCAGCUGAUGGAGUUGCUGUCUCCCCCAGCACUUUCCAAGUCCCCACCCCCAGCCCCCAACCUUUUUCUAAAGGACACAGCCUUCCUUUAUUAUCUGUUUUUCCACAGAAUGUAAAUUGAGUGUGUUGAGUGAAAAGUCCAUGACCCCUGUGAACUGGCUUUGCUUUUGCUGAAGGUGCAAAGGUUUGCCAUUCCUUUCAUGAACCUUCAGGUGGUAAUUUCAUUUCACCCUGGGAGAAUAUGAGGUGCCCAGGGGUCCGGCUUUAGCAGGGCUGUGGGUGAAGGAAGGGCUCUUGUUCUUAGAGGGUUUUGCACCCACCAGGGAUGCAGAGUGGAGACAGUUCUUCUCACCUUUUUCUGCCCCAAAGAAACAAGCAUGGGGAGGGGUAGAGAGAGGGGUGUGUGUGUUUGUCUGUGUGUUUUGAUCAGUCUCACUGGGAACAGUCUCUUAACUCUCACUUGGGAAAGGUAAUGGGGGAAUCCUCCCUAUACUUCCAGAAUAGGACAUUUAGCUGCCACACACUUAGGUGCACAUUUUAAAAACGGUUCAUUGCAAAUGGCAAAUACAUAUUAAGUUCACUCACCUGGUGGGAGGACCAGGGUUCUUUGAAUCCCAGCACUCUUAGGAGGGAAGCUGGCACUGACUACAAAGCCAAAGCUUGGUUAACCCAGCUGCUGCUUCUCCUUUAUGUACCAUAUUUUAAAGGUUGUUGGUUCUUACACAGAAGCAACUAUUGUCCCCCAUGCCCAGUGUGGUCUCAACCCCCAGGCCCUCUCAUCUCCCAUUAGUGCUGACGUUUGCUGCUAUGGCAUAAAUGAGCCAAUUUGCAGAAACUCCUGCCUGUGUAGACUUUUGGCAGAGAGGCAGCAUUUGGAGGGCUACCUGGAAGAGAACCUUGCUCAGCCACUUACCUGAGCGGGCAGUUCCCAGAGCUGGUUGUUGCCAGCCUGGAGGUCGCAGUCUUUGUGUCAGCCCAAGCACCCAGCCAGCCUUCUCCAGAGUAGCACUGCCAUCUCAGUCAUGUUUCCUGAACACCGAGUGGGUUGAGGUCACUGUUUUGGAUGCCCCUCUCCCAGUGGGGAGAUUUCGCUAGAAACCCAGUGUCGCUGUGUCAGGUAGCUCUGCAGUCUGCGGAUGCCAGGCCUGGAGAAGGCAGCCAGCUCUCUGUGAAGCUGGUUAAUUACAUGUGAAGCUGCCAGCAGGACGAUUGUUUUUUUCCCAUGGAUCAUUAAUAAAGCAUUCUGGCCUGACAAUUCCAUCAUCUUCCUCAGCUUUGUCGGACAGAUCUUCCUCCUUUUUAGUGUAAAGCUUUAAAAAUGGCUGGGAGUGGCGAGAGGGAGGGAAGAGAAUAAUCUACUUCCGUUUAUUGCACGUUUUUCCCUAAGCUGGAAAGUGGACCCCUGCUUUCAGAUCAUCUUGGCAGCCAGGAUACAAAGGGUUCAAGGCUUGCCAUGGGUGGGAAAUGGCUUGGCUCCUAAUAUUUGCAGCAAACUACAGACCAGGCCUGAUUUGGAAACGAGGCAACGAGUGCAGCAGAUGGCAAAUAGUCCUGCUCCACUGGGGCUCGAGAUGCGCACCAUCUUCUUCCUCCAGCCAAGGCAGCCUCAUCCCUGCUAUGCCUGAGUGCAGAAAACAUUUCUGGCUUUUUAGAAACUCCUUUUUUAGGCAAAGAUGGAAGAAGGCAAAGCAAAUAUAAUAUGGGAAACUCAAUCUAGUUAUAGACGUUUUCUUGUCAAACAAACUAAAAUAGAGCUUUUCCUUUGCUGGUUAGAAAAAUUUAGGAAUGGAAAUCAACAAUUCUCCAAACAGCAUUAAGUGCAAAGAUAAAAACCAAAUUAUUAAUAGAAGUGAGUAUGACCCAUUCAGUUUCCAAGGACUUGAGCAUACAACCCUCAUAAUACUGAAUUAUAUAGCCUUUCAUAGAUAUAAGGGCUCUAGAGGUUAUAUAGUCCAAUCCAAACAUUUCACAGUAAAUGAGAAAACUGAGGCAUGAAGAAGUUCAUCACUUGGGCACAUUCACACGGUAAAUUCAUGGUGGAGCUAAAGUCUCCACAUUCCUGUUGUAUUGCUCUUACCUUUAUCCCCACAGUGCCUCCCAGACAACGGCCUCAUCAUCCACCUGAAGUACAAGUAAUAAUUUGAGAAUAUGACAGUGGCAUAUAAAAGGGAGUAGGUGAUGUGAUGGAGGCAGACAGAGAGGUAAGGAAGUGCAUUCUCUUUAUAUUAUUUUAGUGAGAUAGGGAUGAGGGCCUAAGUCAGAGAAGUCAUCCGGGGCCUUGGCCUUCUGUAAGGAAUCUCCUAGACAGGGGUGCAAAGAUAACCACACACAGAUUGAGAAAGCAUUCCGGGGGAGGAGGAGUACAGGUGUCUGACAGACCUGGAAUUUUCCAUUGCUUUUCCUCAUAUGUAGUUGUAGAAAAGCUGCUGUCUAUUUGUGCCAAAUCUAAGCUUCAGAUAAGCCCAGAGGAAACCAAGGAGUGCUAAACUAUCGUAAGUUGGGGCUUUUUCUUUUUUUAAGAGGGGAGUUGCAUUGUUCAAUUGAGAGAGUUAUAGGGAGGUCAUAUUGCCCAUCUGGGAUUGCCCUCCAACUCCCUAGGGUACUCUAGUUCAAACACUCUGUUCUGGUCAAGUUGAGGCAGGGCACAGGGUGGGCCCAUGAGUGCCAUCCUUUCCCCGGUAUCCUGUACUCCUGACCUGCUGCCUCUACUCUGCCACGAGGCUGAUGCAGGAGCCAGGCUAUGCUGUCAGGGUCUGGGGUCUCUCCCACCCUGUAGCAGAGGCUGGUUACCCUUCUUGUUAGCAGUGAUGUCUGUUUGUCUUUUAAGGGGUUGUCAAUUGGGGGAGGAACAAAUCACAUUUUCCAGCAAUUUAAUUUUAUUAACUCUGAUUUUUUCCCCUUUUCCAAAGCACAGCUAAAUGGAGCUAAACAUACACAUGAGGGCUAUAUUUAGUCCUAAUGGUGUGGUAGAGUAGAGAAGGCACAAACACAGAGGUUUAUCUGCUACCUAGUAAACAUGGGGAGGUGUCAGGACUGGAGAAUUCAAUAGUAAUAAUAAGCAUUUUUAUGGUACAAUGACAGCUUUGAUACAGGGCAUAAUUUUCUCAGGAUUGCUAUUAAUUGUGCUUCUGCCUGUGAGCGGCCCCCUGGUGAGGGGCUUGGAACACCACACAAGUUAAGCUAUAUUAAACAUCAAUUAAAACAGCAUAAAAUAGAAACUGAAUAAAAUUUGCAAAGGUCGGAGUGGCUGUGAACAUGCAAACAAGGCACUGGGGAAGAAAGGGUUAGGGCCUGGUGAGCCUGGUGCAUGCUCCCAGAUGCUAUGAGCUUAGUAGGUUUGCUAGAGAAUGAAUUAUGGGACCCUCUAGCUUUUCCAAGUUCAAUUCUCCUCAAAGAGGUUUCAGAAACUGCUCAUUGCAGGCAGCUAGAGAUGAAAAGACAACCAGCUUCUACCAGUGCUGUCUAACACAACUUUUUAUGUUGGUGGAAAUAUUCUUUAUCUCUGCUGUCCAGUACAGUAGCCACAUAUGGAUAUUGAGCACUCGAGAUACAGUUUAUGCAACUGAGGAAUAGAAUCUUUAUGAAAUUUAAAUAAUUUUAAUGUAAAUAGCCACAUGGGGCUAGUGGCCACCAUAUUGGACAACACAGGACUCUAGACAAGUCCCCUGCACACUGGGCACUCUGGCAAUGUUAGGUUUGCAUUGUGUUCUUCUGAAAAAGUCUGCACCUUCCCCCAUGCCAGUAAAUGUGUUUUCUCAGUAACUUUUUAUUUAUUUGACCCUUAUCUUUCAUGCUCUUGACACAAACUUCCUCAUUUUUUCAUAAGGGUCACACACAAUGCCAAGAAAUGAGAAAGGAGUUAAUGGCCAGAUCAAAUCAGACAGCCUUGUCUUUAUCCUUGCCUCCUUUUCUCCCGAUAGCCCCUAGCCAAUCUAAUACCAAGUGUUUCCCACUCCCAGAGAAAAAAGGAGGGAAUGGCUUUGGAUCUCUGGCUGAAGAUCACAGACUGCGGAGUCGUCACUGUUCCCACUGAACAUCUGAUUAAGUUGCUGAGUUUGACCCUUGAGUUUCCCAGAACUUGCAGGGAUUGCAGAAUCAUCCAGGCAGCACACUCCUGACAGUCUUUAGUCCUUUUGGCAUCUGAACUGAAAAUCUCUUUUCCCAUAGCUCUUUUAACACUUGUUGAAUGCUUAUAAUGAAUCCAUUCAUUAGGAUGACACAGUAUAGGAGAACAAAGCACUACACCUGUAAUCAGAAAUCCCAUGUUUAAGUCCUGACUCUUCCAUUUACUGUCUCUGUGACCUUGACAAAAUCAUUUCACCUCCCUGAGGCUUCAUCUUCCCCAAUAAAAAUGAGUGUAUUGGACUAAAUGACCUGUGGGUGCUAAGAAGAAAAGAGUGCCAGAGAAAGAGGCCCUUAUUGUGAAGCCCUGUGCUUCCACAGAGUCUCCCCCUUCUGAUGUCAGCUUGCAUUUAAAGCAGCGCUUUCCUGAGGCCACUGAGACACUUCCAGCAAGUCUGGUUACCAUUCACCCCACCCACCGGUUGCUGUCCAGCACCACAGACAUACCCUGAGCCAGACAGCAUGGCAUACUGCCUCUGGUGGUUAUUAUGCAUAUAUGAACCUCAGAGAAGUCAAGACCAGUCCCCUAUUACUUUGGGUUAUCCUCAAAGAUGCCAAGAGGGCAAGAGGCUUCUUGGCUUGGGCACUGGGUCCAUAAAGCAAGAGGGGCUUUGGAGUUACCUGACGUGUGCAGAUCUCCAUGCUGGCUUGAUGGCUGUUGCCAGCCUUCCUCCAUCCAGCAAUAGCUAGUCACUGCUCCAAGGAUUGUCCCCAGCCGCCCAGAGCCCCUGUGGCGCCGCCAACACUGCACAGCUCACAAAGCGCCCUGUAGCAUCUCUAAUUGAGGAGCUGGUAUGCGGACGCCCUCAGCAGAGGUAUUUUUAGCUGCAGUGAUACAGCCUCAUCUUUUUGCAGGACGUUUUGUUUAGUUAUUUUUUUAAUGAAAUAAAUAAGUAAAAUUGAAGACUGUGGUACUUAUAUCCCAGUGCCAAUACCCAAGAAGUUUUGGCAUGCACCCCUCCCCCCCGCCCCCCACCAAACACAUACACCACAGGCCUAUAUAAUUAAUCCUCUCCAAGACCAGGUGCUGAGGCUCAGAGUUUGCCAGAAUAUUAGGCCAGAGAGACAGUAUGUACAGAAGCAAGAAGAGCUAGAAAUAGAGUGGAGGAAUGAUGCAGACUGGCCCAGAGCAAAGGUGCUUACGGGCCCUGUGAGCCGCCCAGGCAGCUGGGAACUACCCUAGUUCCUGGCCUUUCAGACCUUUGAUGGAUUUGGUGGAUCAAGUGAGUGGGCCUCAACUCCUGGAGAGAGAGUUUCCUUGUAGUAUACAAAGGAUUCAGUUCUAUGCCUUACUGACAUUUUAAUGCUUUUGUUUUCCUUCUUUUCAUCCUGUCUGUGGCAUGUCACGUUUUCCUUGGUUCUUUUAUUGUGUAACAUGUGAUCAGGGACUAGAGGACAUUCGCAGAGUUUGUUUCAGAUCAGAGAGCAGGACCAGGGUAGUGGCUCUCACCGCUGGCUGCACACUGGAAUCAUGGGGUAGGAAGGCUUAGGAAAGCUACUAAUGCCUGGACUUUCCUCCAAAGAGUCUGGCUUCAUCAAGCACCAGCUCUUUAACUUCCCCAGAUAUAUUAGCUGAUACCAA